rnacentral:lncRNA from 1 species
GUUAGCAUAUUUAAAGACUUUUGCAGAUACAUUAAUUCAUCCCAAAGUGUAGAUGUAUAAACUUUCAAGAGACCUAAAUGGUCCUCUCUCAUCCAGUUAUGGGCCAGAGGACCCAAGGAAUCCUUGAAACUCAGUCUCUCAGGUCUAUGUAGAUUGGCUCCCAAACCACCCAGCGUUGAAUAUCUUCAAAGGGAGGGACCUCGUCUCGCACCCCAUCGCUGUCAGAAAGUAGUCAAUGGAGUGAUUUCGAGCCACCGCCGUACCAGUCUCCCCUCAGUGAUGCUCCAGCCACACUGGCCUCCUGAGUGUUCCUCAAAUCUGCCCAGCAGGUUAUGGUCUCGGGAUCUUCUCUGCCUGGAAUCCACUCUCUGCAUAUAACUGCAUGGCUCUCUACUCUUAUUUUCUGCGUGUCUCCUCUCAAAGGUCACCUAAACAAAGAGAAUAAGAAACAGGAUACAGUACAACGAGAUUAACCAGGAAAGAGCCAGCAACCUGUUCAACCUCCCGUCCAGAUGGAGGUGUCAGCCUCAGCCAUAAGCCUGAUCGUGGCGAACAAUUUCCAGUGCUGAACAUCCCAAAACUCAUCUGCUGGGCAUUAAAACUCGAGAAAUUCCCACAUUAACUACUGCCAGAGUUUUUGUCAGCAAAAUAUAACCAUGGUUUAUCACCCAAAGUUGAUACAUUUUUAUCCAAAAGGAAAU